rnacentral:lncRNA from 10 species
AGAAAUGUGCCCCCACAUUGAGGGUUGGGGCAUCAGGAUGGGACUGGAAGAAGAGUCUACGAAGGACCUCAGGACAUUCAUAAUAAUCAUGAACAAAUUUCACCUGAUUCUUGGCCACAAAGUUUCAAGGGAACCAGAGCUAAUGAAGACAGCAUGGAAGGGCACCGCCGAGACCUACCUGUGGGAGUCCACCUCACCCUCAAGAACAGCUACCAUUUUAACACAGAUGGAUAAACCCCAUGAAAGUGAACUUCCUAAAUGCAAAUUCUGAUCUUGAAGCCCCAGCUGGCACAUCUACUGGAGACCCUCCCAAGCAACAAGAUGUAGAUGCUUUAGAGAUAACAAACUAUACAAGUUGUCUUCCAUUCUUUCUCCUUCCUCUAUUUUCAACACGGAUAAAAUACAUAUAUAUUUAUCUUGCUGAGCUCAGUAGGAUUAUUUAGCUUUAUUUCCAUGGCUGCCUUUUCUUAAUGUAAUAGAAUUUCCAAUCGAGCUUAUUACUUCCUUCCGUCACAAGCCUGAGGUCCUUUCACACCCAUCCUGUCCUUGGCAAAGAUCUUUGGAAAGUAGCCUGGGACAUACCUAGUGGUAAGCCACCUGCUCUGGGUUGAGGGUGGAUCUAUUCUAGUCAGAGGCUUUGUGAUCUGGACAAAGGAAUUGAGUAUGUGGCUGUCAAACUGUCAGGCAAUACUAAAUUUGGCUGGCCAGCUGAAUUCUAGCAGAAAAUCAUGCAAAAUAAGGUUUAGCAAUUGGGGAAAAAUGGCCCACAGGAAAAACAAAGGGAUGAAAUUCCGUAGGACUACACGGCCAUAGAAUUCUAACUUGAGGGCUGCAACCAGCUAUGUGACCUUGUAGUACAAGGACCAGUCUUCAGAUACAAAAUAGAGUUUGGAGUUAAAGGGAUCUUUGAGAAGAAGCCAUUAUCCACCCCCUCCUCCCAAUUUUAUAUGCCCUAAGAAAAAGGUUUCUUUCAACUUAGAAAGGUAUGAUUCUUGAAGUGCACUUCCUCCGAGUUUUCCUGAGCCUCUCAAUCAAAAUGACUUGCACCUGCCCAUCCAUUCCCAUUGGCUUAUGCUCCUACCCUGCAGUAUUGGCUUCAUUAUGCCUCACCUUGUACACCUGUCUGAUUCCUCUCCUAGAUUAUCAGCACCUUGACAAUGGGCUCGUAUCUUGUGUAUCCCUGAAUUUCCAGGGACAAUGAUAGUGCCUGCCACAUAAUUGAUGGUCAAUAAAUUUUGGUUAAAUAGUAACAAGAAACUCCCAUUUAAAAAAUGUGUUAUCGUUAUCAUUCUCAAUCUGGAUGCUCUCCUCUAUACACAGUUUUAUUCAGUAACUCUCUUAAAAUUGUAAAGGUGAGAAAUUGAACACAGUUUCCCAGGUCUUUGAGCAGCACGAGAUACAGGGAGAAAAAAAAUGCUUUGUGCUUGAAUACUUUACUUCUGAUUGGAGAAAAUAAACACUGCACUGGAUUAUUUUUAAAGAUACAUCACAUUACGUUUGUGAUCAACUGAAAUGCUAAGAUAUUUGCAUGUGGAUUUCUGCCAAGCUGCUUUUCUCCCAUUCUUCAUGUGUGUGAUUGAUCUUGAAAUCAAAUGGUGGGACUUUAUAUAUUUUUUUGUUUUAACUCAAGGUAAAGUCUGACAAAAAUCACGUUAAAUUUGAUGCUGUCAGUGAAGACAUUAGCAAUCCUUCCUGGCUUAAGGUCACUGGCAAAUUUGAUAUACUUAUCUUUUGUGGGGUUUUUUUGUUGGUUUUUUUAAGACAGGGUCCCACUCUGUCACCCAAGUUAGAGUACAGUGGCUUGAAAAUGGCUCACUGAAGCCUCGACCUCCCAGGCUUAAGCAAUCCUCCCACCUCAGCCUCCUGAGUAGCUGGGACUACAGGCAUGCACCACAAUGUCUGGCUGAAUUUUUUUUUUUUUUUUUUUUUUUUGUAGAGAUGUGGUCUUCCUAUGGUUCCCAGGCUGGUCUUGAACUCCUGGGCUCAACCAAUCCUCCCACCUUGGCCUCCCAAAGUGCUGAGAUUAUAGGCAUAAGCCACAACAUGCAGCCGUCUUUUCCGUUUUUAUCCCACUCUUUGACAAUGUUGGAAGGAUUAGGACUAGCUCUAAUAAGAGUCACCCCCUUCAUAUUGGGUAAUCAACCAACAGCUAGAAAUGUACACUGAAAUACUACCAGACAUCCCUUAUUUUACCAUCUUAUCCACAAAGAUCUUACAGAUGACAUUUUAAAAACAUUGUCUAAAGCACAGAAAUACUUUUAAGCACAGUAGCCCCUGAAGCUUGCCAGCCAAAUAAUCUAUUAAAACUUAAAUGAAACAAGGCAAGUAUGGUGCAUGCGUAUGGUGGCUGUGGUACUGGUGGCAUGCUUUUUUAAAUUCUACAGUCUCCUCCAACCACCCUCUGCUUUUUAAGUAAGUCUAAUUUAGCAUAUGCCUUGGCAUUCAUAUUAGGCUGACUUUCCACGACUGGCAUCCC